UACGUAGGGACCAAGCGUUGUUCGGAUUUACUGGGCGUAAAGGGCGCGUAGGCGGCGUGGUAAGUCACUUGUGAAAUCUCUGAGCUUAACUCAGAACGGCCAAGUGAUACUGCUGUGCUAGAGUGCAGAAGGGGCAAUCGGGAAUUCUUGGUGUAGCGGUGAAAUGCGUAGAUAUCAGCAGGAAUACCCGUGGCGAAGGCGGCCCCCUGGGCCCGAACCUGACGCCUGAGGCGCGAAGGCUAGGGGAGCGAACAGG
rnacentral:rRNA from 1 species